GGUUAAGCGACUAAGCGUACACGGUGGAUGCCCUGGCAGUCAGAGGCGAUGAAGGACGUGCUAAUCUGCGAUAAGCGUCGGUAAGGUGAUAUGAACCGUUAUAACCGGCGAUUUCCGAAUGGGGAAACCCAGUGUGAUUCGUCACACUAUCAUUAACUGAAUCCAUAGGUUAAUGAGGCGAACCGGGGGAACUGAAACAUCUAAGUACCCCGAGGAAAAGAAAUCAACCGAGAUUCCCCCAGUAGCGGCGAGCGAACGGGGAGGAGCCCAGAGCCUGAAUCAGUGUGUGUGUUAGUGGAAGCGUCUGGAAAGGCGCGCGAUACAGGGUGACAGCCCCGUACACAAAAAUGCACAUGCUGUGAGCUCGAUGAGUAGGGCGGGACACGUGGUAUCCUGUCUGAAUAUGGGGGGACCAUCCUCCAAGGCUAAAUACUCCUGACUGACCGAUAGUGAACCAGUACCGUGAGGGAAAGGCGAAAAGAACCCCGGCGAGGGGAGUGAAAAAGAACCUGAAACCGUGUACGUACAAGCAGUGGGAGCACGCUUAGGCGUGUGACUGCGUACCUUUUGUAUAAUGGGUCAGCGACUUAUAUUCUGUAGCAAGGUUAACCGAAUAGGGGAGCCGAAGGGAAACCGAGUCUUAACUGGGCGUUAAGUUGCAGGGUAUAGACCCGAAACCCGGUGAUCUAGCCAUGGGCAGGUUGAAGGUUGGGUAACACUAACUGGAGGACCGAACCGACUAAUGUUGAAAAAUUAGCGGAUGACUUGUGGCUGGGGGUGAAAGGCCAAUCAAACCGGGAGAUAGCUGGUUCUCCCCGAAAGCUAUUUAGGUAGCGCCUCGUGAAUUCAUCUCCGGGGGUAGAGCACUGUUUCGGCAAGGGGGUCAUCCCGACUUACCAACCCGAUGCAAACUGCGAAUACCGGAGAAUGUUAUCACGGGAGACACACGGCGGGUGCUAACGUCCGUCGUGAAGAGGGAAACAACCCAGACCGCCAGCUAAGGUCCCAAAGUCAUGGUUAAGUGGGAAACGAUGUGGGAAGGCCCAGACAGCCAGGAUGUUGGCUUAGAAGCAGCCAUCAUUUAAAGAAAGCGUAAUAGCUCACUGGUCGAGUCGGCCUGCGCGGAAGAUGUAACGGGGCUAAACCAUGCACCGAAGCUGCGGCAGCGACACUGUGUGUUGUUGGGUAGGGGAGCGUUCUGUAAGCCUGCGAAGGUGUGCUGUGAGGCAUGCUGGAGGUAUCAGAAGUGCGAAUGCUGACAUAAGUAACGAUAAAGCGGGUGAAAAGCCCGCUCGCCGGAAGACCAAGGGUUCCUGUCCAACGUUAAUCGGGGCAGGGUGAGUCGACCCCUAAGGCGAGGCCGAAAGGCGUAGUCGAUGGGAAACAGGUUAAUAUUCCUGUACUUGGUGUUACUGCGAAGGGGGGACGGAGAAGGCUAUGUUGGCCGGGCGACGGUUGUCCCGGUUUAAGCGUGUAGGCUGGUUUUCCAGGCAAAUCCGGAAAAUCAAGGCUGAGGCGUGAUGACGAGGCACUACGGUGCUGAAGCAACAAAUGCCCUGCUUCCAGGAAAAGCCUCUAAGCAUCAGGUAACAUCAAAUCGUACCCCAAACCGACACAGGUGGUCAGGUAGAGAAUACCAAGGCGCUUGAGAGAACUCGGGUGAAGGAACUAGGCAAAAUGGUGCCGUAACUUCGGGAGAAGGCACGCUGAUACGUAGGUGAAGUCCCUCGCGGAUGGAGCUGAAAUCAGUCGAAGAUACCAGCUGGCUGCAACUGUUUAUUAAAAACACAGCACUGUGCAAACACGAAAGUGGACGUAUACGGUGUGACGCCUGCCCGGUGCCGGAAGGUUAAUUGAUGGGGUCAGCGCAAGCGAAGCUCUUGAUCGAAGCCCCGGUAAACGGCGGCCGUAACUAUAACGGUCCUAAGGUAGCGAAAUUCCUUGUCGGGUAAGUUCCGACCUGCACGAAUGGCGUAAUGAUGGCCAGGCUGUCUCCACCCGAGACUCAGUGAAAUUGAACUCGCUGUGAAGAUGCAGUGUACCCGCGGCAAGACGGAAAGACCCCGUGAACCUUUACUAUAGCUUGACACUGAACAUUGAGCCUUGAUGUGUAGGAUAGGUGGGAGGCUUUGAAGUGUGGACGCCAGUCUGCAUGGAGCCGACCUUGAAAUACCACCCUUUAAUGUUUGAUGUUCUAACGUUGACCCGUAAUCCGGGUUGCGGACAGUGUCUGGUGGGUAGUUUGACUGGGGCGGUCUCCUCCUAAAGAGUAACGGAGGAGCACGAAGGUUGGCUAAUCCUGGUCGGACAUCAGGAGGUUAGUGCAAUGGCAUAAGCCAGCUUGACUGCGAGCGUGACGGCGCGAGCAGGUGCGAAAGCAGGUCAUAGUGAUCCGGUGGUUCUGAAUGGAAGGGCCAUCGCUCAACGGAUAAAAGGUACUCCGGGGAUAACAGGCUGAUACCGCCCAAGAGUUCAUAUCGACGGCGGUGUUUGGCACCUCGAUGUCGGCUCAUCACAUCCUGGGGCUGAAGUAGGUCCCAAGGGUAUGGCUGUUCGCCAUUUAAAGUGGUACGCGAGCUGGGUUUAGAACGUCGUGAGACAGUUCGGUCCCUAUCUGCCGUGGGCGCUGGAGAAUUGAGGGGGGCUGCUCCUAGUACGAGAGGACCGGAGUGGACGCAUCACUGGUGUUCGGGUUGUCAUGCCAAUGGCACUGCCCGGUAGCUAAAUGCGGAAGAGAUAAGUGCUGAAAGCAUCUAAGCACGAAACUUGCCCCGAGAUGAGUUCUCCCUGACUCCUUGAGAGUCCUGAAGGAACGUUGAAGACGACGACGUUGAUAGGCCGGGUGUGUAAGCGCAGCGAUGCGUUGAGCUAACCGGUACUAAUGAACCGUGAGGCUUAACCUU
rnacentral:rRNA from 1 species